rnacentral:rRNA from 1 species
UACGUAGGUGGCAAGCGUUACUCGGAAUCACUAGGCGUAAAGCGCAGGUAGGCGGUUCGGUAAGUCUCUUGUGAAAGCUCCCGGCUUAACUGGGAGAGGCCAAGGGAAACUGUCGGGCUAGAGUGUGGCAGAGGAAGCUGGAAUUCCCGGUGUAGCGGUGAAAUGCGUAGAUAUCGGGAAGAACACCCGUGGCGAAGGCGGCUCUCUGGUACGUGACUGACGCUGAGACGCGAAAGCGUGGGGAGCGAACAGG